rnacentral:tRNA from 1 species
AUUCAUUUAGUAUUGUGGAUAACACGGUGGCGUUUGAAGCGAAAAGUACUGGGUUCGAGUCCCACAGUGAAC